CUGCACUCGCGCGCAGCCCAGCUGCACUUCCUAUCGCGCGGGAGACGCUCCCCAGUUUCAGCAGCCACAGAGAACAAGGUAACUUUAAACACUGCUAACAACAGAAGAAAGAACCACUGUUGUGUGUGCUCGUCUGCGAGGAUUGACGUAUGGCCAGGAUCAGGUAUCGGAAGCCGGGUCCCACCAGUGAACAAUUUCUGUAGUGUUGCAUAUGAACAACGUCCAGGGAGGCCAACCAUAACAACACACACUGUGCAACGUGUAGAGAAUGCCAUUACAAGCAGCCCUUCCGCAUAUACCAGAAAACUGUCUAGGGAUCUAGGGGUUGCACAAAGCACUAUGUGGAAAACUCUACGCUACACAUUGCAGAAACGUGUGUAUCACAUACAGGUUGUGUAUAAUCUUGAAGCAGAGUACAAUGCAGCCAGGGAAGCGAUGUGUUGUGACCUUCUAGAUGCUGUAGAAAUUUAUAAUAUUAUGCAUCAUGUCCUCUUCAGUGAUGAAGCUACAUUCCACACGCGUGGUCACGUGAACAGACACACUUGUAGGAUCUUGACUAACGAGCAGCCUAAUGCAGGAGUGGCAACGCGACACACACAAGGAGGUAGCAGCACCCCAUUUCGCCCUGAUUGUUCGGGACUACCUCGAUCAGCUCUCACUGGCAGAUGGACUGGUCGGGGCUCGCCAUGAGUGUGGGCUUCACGGUCACCAGUGACCUCUGGGACACAGAAGCCCAGUAAGGCUGAGUCAGGCCGGGGUCGAACUCAGCCCGGAGGAAGGCAUAGAGUCGUGAUGGGCCAGGGUGCGGGAGAUAACUCGCGGCGAUGAGAACCCGUGACGUAAUGGCAUCUCUGGUGAGUUUCUUCCAGCACCUGAAUUAUACACAAUACAGUCACAUCCAUUACGAACAAAAUACUAUACCUAAAAAGUGUAGACUGAGAUCACGCAUUUAAAUUUUAAUUGACUUAACAUAAAAUUUUGAUUUUAGAAAUAGCCACGAGAAAUAUACGGUGUUCAUAAAAGAAUGACCCAGUUUCAAUGGUACAUUAUCAUUAAAGUUUUAUUUAGAUUAUUUGCAA